ensembl:processed_transcript RIKEN cDNA 1700123M08 gene
GCCAGUUUUGUGACGCCACCGAGGUCAGACAAUCCCUUCCAUUUGGCGCGGCUAGCCUAUUGGUUCCACGCGUGCGCGCGCCCCGUGGCCACGCCCUGUUGCUGGUGAAGAUCAUGUUGAGGCAUUGGAAACAGGAGCUCCCUCCAGUAUGCAGAUGACUCAGUAUCCUGAGAAGGCACCUUUAUUUACAUGGGAAGAUCCUGCAGAUACCUGCCUAACAAAACUCUGCUACCCUUAGUGCAGACUGAAAGGACCCACAUGAAGACCAAGCUGCACUUCUGCUACAUAUGUGUGGAGAGGCCUAGGUCCAGCCCCUGAAUGUACUUUGGUUGGUGCUUCAGUCUCUGAGAGCCCCCAAGGGUCCAGGCCUCCAUCCCUCCCCAUCCAGAGGAGAGAGACUUUGAAGUCCUCAGGGGACUUGCAAGCAGAAGUGGGGGAAAGGGUACCACAAAUGGAGAUGAAAAUCUGUCUUCACUUUCCUGAUGUUCCCGAGCUUCAAAGCCAGAGCCAUAAGCCAUGGAAAGGCAGAGUUGGAAAGGACACCAUUUCUGAUGUGACAUUCUAUGCUCAAAAAUGCCUUUGCCUGGCCUCUUUGUGUGACUUCAGUUGGAUACCAGUAACAGCUGCUUUCAAGGUCAAGUCUGGAAUGUUCCAAGGCACUGGACAUGAGACACUCAAGAGCCUGGAGAAGAGACAGAUGUUGUCUGUUCAAGGCCAGAGACAAGUAAAGGAGCCAUGGCUACAGUUUGUGG